AGAGUUUGGAUUUGGUCUCACUAGUAGCUUUUACUUUCUCUUCUGAAAGGAUAGAGAUGGGAGAUGAGGUAGCAGGAAACAUUGUUCCUAGUGCUGGUUCCUGCUUUCUCCUUUAUGGAGUGACAAGCUGACCUGAUGUUUCCUCCAUCUACAGGAGCUUCUCUGACUCUGAAGGUUGGUACCCCAGGAUACAAAGUGCUCACUGAAAACCAGUGAAGGGGAGGCAAGCUUGUAAAAGGAGGAUAUCAUCUGGAAGUUACGUGUAUGGAAACUUGAUGCCAAUAUUCAUGAAAUGCAAUAAAAGAAGGCAGUGUGGAAAAAAAAUGUGAGGG